CCUACGGGAGGCAGCAGUGAGGAAUAUUGGUCAAUGGGCGCGAGCCUGAACCAGCCAAGUAGCGUGAAGGAUGACUGCCCUACGGGUUGUAAACUUCUUUUAUAAAGGAAUAAAGUGAGGCACGUGUGCCUUUUUGUAUGUACUUUAUGAAUAAGGAUCGGCUAACUCCGUUCCAGCAGCCGCGGUAAUACGGAGGAGCCGAGCGUGAUCCGGAUUUAUUGGGUGUAAAGUGAGCGUAGAUUGGUUGUUAAGUCAGUUGUGAAAGUUUGCGGCGCAACCGUAACACUGCAAUUGAUACUGGCAGUCGUGAGUACAGUUGAGGUAGGCGGAAUUCGUGGUGUAGCGGUGAAAUGCUUAGAUAUCACGAAGAACUCCGAUUGCGAAGGCAGCUUACUAAACUGCCACUGACAUUGAUGCUCGAAAGUGUGGGUAUCAAACAGGAUUAGAUACCCCUGUAGUC
rnacentral:rRNA from 1 species